rnacentral:rRNA from 1 species
AUUGAACGCUGGCGGCAGGCCUAACACAUGCAAGUCGAACGGUAACAGGAAGAAGCUUGCUUCUUUGCUGACGAGUGGCGGACGGGUGAGUAAUGUCUGGGAAACUGCCUGAUGGAGGGGGAUAACUACUGGAAACGGUAGCUAAUACCGCAUAACGUCGCAAGACCAAAGAGGGGGUCCUUCGGGCCUCUUGCCAUCGGAUGUGCCCAGAUGGGAUUAGCUAGUAGGUGGGGUAACGGCUCACCUAGGCGACGAUCCCUAGCUGGUCUGAGAGGAUGACCAGCCACACUGGAACUGAGACACGGUCCAGACUCCUACGGGAGGCAGCAGUGGGGAAUAUUGCACAAUGGGCGCAAGCCUGAUGCAGCCAUGCCGCGUGUAUGAAGAAGGCCUUCGGGUUGUAAAGUACUUUCAGCGGGGAGGAAGGGAGUAAAGUUAAUACCUUUGCUCAUUGACGUUACCCGCAGAAGAAGCACCGGCUAACUCCGUG